GGCGGCGCGGCGGGAAACGCGCCCUGGGCCGGGGCCUUCCCCGACGCGCACAGCUCUGUAGCAAAUCGCAAGUGCGGCGGCCUCCCGGUCGUGACCAUCGCAGGCACAGCCGGCUCGACUCCGGUCCUCGCGGCCGGCCGGCGUAAGUUCCCGCGAGGGACCGCCUACCCACUCUCCCCGCCCCGGGAAGAACUGCGCCGCGCCCGGGAUUUUUCGGACUCGCCCAGCAGCUUGCGAGCGGGCGGGCAGCCGCCGGGGCAGAGCGCAGGCGGAAAACGAAAGCGCAGCACGAGUCGCGGCCGCUUUGUCUCGGGCGCCGCGGGCCUGACAGGGGCGAGUGAGAACCCGCUGGCCCAGAGGCGACCCAGAUCGCACAGGCCCGGGAACAAGCGGCGUGCUCAGUCACUCACCCGUGCGCGCACACCCUCGCGCUCUUGUCCACACAUUAGCACACACAUACAUGUCUUGAUGCACAUGCAAACCCGGUAAAUUACGCAAACAGACGUGUAAACACACCCAUGCGUGUGUGCACACUCAUGUGCAGAGGGCGCUCAGGCAUGUGCGCACCCACUAAUGCACUCGCUGACACGGAAGCUUAAGGCCCACAGGAGCUUAAGUGCGCACUCACUCCCACUCACGCGUACACACGCCACGCUCGGAUCUGAACUCACACGUAGUUCAGUUGCCCUCCCCCACCCCCAACACACACUGAAAACCCGCCUAUUUGGCCCCGCGGCCCCAUUUUCAAAGCGCAGGUUCCGAUUUCCCGAGAGAUGGCAAAGGCCCUGGCAGGAAGUUUACAGGGUUUAACGUAAACAAGUUCUGGGGGAUUCUUUAAUAAUAAUAAUAGAGAAUUCCGCGUGCGCAGGGCGGGAGGGGGGAGUUGGCCUAAUGCCCCUGUGGGCUCGGCCUGCCGCCGCCGCGGGGGCCUCUGACACUGCGCGCCAGGCCAGGUUCCUGAGAGCAGACAGCGCGGGCUGGGAGCGCCGGCAAGGGCGGCCCUCGCGCGCCUGGCUGCCAGCCCGCGGGGGGCUCGCACGCAGACCUGCCCUUGCCACCUCAGCGCUCGGGUGCGGGCUGGGGGCGGUGGAGCCAGGAAAGGUGGUGCCGAGAGCGGAGCGCAGGACAGCGCAGGAGCCCUGGCGCAACGCGGCGCGCACAGACCCAGAUCGCCUCCACCCUGCUUCCCUUGUCCCCACACCACACUCCAGCCCAGGAACCAGCCAACUAUGGCCUGCAGCCACUGAAGAAUGCUCGCAUAAGGAGCUCUUCUCUGCACAUACCCCGACACAGUGA
rnacentral:lncRNA from 1 species